rnacentral:rRNA from 1 species
GAUCUGGCUCAGGAUGAACGCUGGCGGCGUGCUUAACACAUGCAAGUCGAACGAAGCACUUUAUUAUGAUUUCUUCGGAAUGACGAUUUAGUGACUGAGUGGCGGACGGGUGAGUAACGCGUGGGUAACCUGCCUUAUACAGGGGGAUAACAGUUAGAAAUGACUGCUAAUACCGCAUAAGCGCACAGGAUUGCAUGAUCUGGUGUGAAAAACUCCGGUGGUAUAAGAUGGACCCG